rnacentral:lncRNA from 1 species
UCUUCUAACCUAUCCAUCAUAUCAUAUCUCAUAUGAUGUGUGAAACCAACUUUAGAGAGAAUCUAAUUUAAAUUUUAAAAAUUAAAUCUUAUUUUUAAAGAAAUAAUAGUUGAACUAGUGAUGUUCAUGAUGGACUGGAUCAUAUCUCAUAUAGUGCCAUUGCUCCUCACAGAUAUCCCAUUAAGCUGAGGUGUAUAAGAAGAAUUCCAUCAUGAAAUUAUGCCAUUCUCUUUACAUAAUCGAUAAAUUUUUUAUUUGGUAUUGCAUCCUCGAUCCAAUCAAAGUACCUUUAAAAAUUUUUUGAUUUAUCUUUUCUACUUCAC